UAUUUCAGAAAAUUUUAAUACUAUUUUCUGUUAUUCAAAUCCGAUAAAUUAUAUAUUUUCCUGCAAAACUGUCCGACUAUGUUUUGGUCAACUUUAUUAAGUUUUAUUUUUUCAAAAACCUCCCCAGCUUAGUAGUAUAUUUUCGGCUUUCUUUGCGAUGGUUUUAUUUAUCGCUUACAGAAUUUAGUUAUUAUGGGUAGAAAUUUUUAGCCAAACUAACUAAAGAUGAACUGGUCAACUGAGGAUUCGUUUUAUUCAGCAAUCAUAGCUGAUAUAUAUUUGACGCAGUUCCAUUUUCGUGUGGAAAUGUGUUUGAUGUAUGUAGGUAAAUGAAAAUGUGCAAAUGGGCUAUCCAGACCUAGGAGGUGGGUCUCACCUAGUCAAGCUCCCUCGACUUACUUUUUUAUGAUUGAUGGCGUUUUGUUGACUUCUAAAACAGUCAACCUUUUUGCUUAUCAAAACCAAAGAAAACGUCAAAAGCAAUCAAACAAUCAAGGGAAAAAAUAAGGCAAGAUUUUGUAUAAUAUUUCGUAAUUAAAUGUUGGAAUGUAAUUUCGAA